AGUCUCCUGUAGCUCAGUGGUACAACGUCCGACCAGCAUGCGGAAGGUCAUAGGUUCGACUCCUGUCAGAAUUU
rnacentral:tRNA from 1 species